ensembl:lncRNA
UUUUUUUUUUUUUUUUUUUUACAAAUAUUUUUUCUGGAUGAAUUAUUAUUAUUUUUUAAGAUUAAUAAAUACCCCCUUUUUAAAUUGUUGUUAAAUUGUAUAAGAUUCAUAAUUUUGAUUAAUCAGACUUGCUUUUUCAUUACUAACAUUUAAUUUAACCAUUAAGACAGAAUCCAGAAAAAAAUAAUUGGAGAGAAAAAAAACUGAAUCAAGAAAAGUGUUUUAAAUUAAAAAAAAUUUUUAUUUUUUUGGUGAUUGCAUUUUUUCCCAUUUUUUUAUUAUUAUUUAUUCUGUUUAAAUGAUGAAAUGUCAGUAAUCGCAAAAGCAUGUCUAAUAAAUUAAAUUCAUGAAACAUAUACGAUUUAACAAUAUAUAUUAAAAGUUUUUAAAAAGUAAGUUUAUGCAAAUAUUAGAAAGAUGUCAUCACUGUUGAGUGUGUGUGUGUGUGUUCAUGUGAAUAUGAUAUUUAUCAUGUAUACUCAUCAGUUCUGUUAGUGCCUUCAGACUAAUAGAGAGAGUCUGAUGCAUCUGUCAUGACGGUCUGCUUGUGUCCAGGACUCUCUGCUGGCGAGUCCCAUUAUUCUGGACCUGGUGAUCCUGACAGAGCUGUGUCAGAGAAUCACCUUCUGCACGCAGGACGAUCCGGUCUUCCAGGGCUUUCACAGCGUGCUCUCUCUGCUCAGCUUCCUCUGCAAAGCGCCGCUGGUGCCGCAGGGGGCGCCGGUGGUCAACGCCUUCUUCCGCCAGCGGGCGUGCAUCGAGAACGUCAUGAGAGCGUGUCUCGGCCUGCCGCCGCAGAACCACAUGCAGCUGGAGCACAAGAUGAAGAGGAGCUUCAUGCAUUCUGAUGAAAACCUCAUGCAUCAUCCCAUCCUCAUGAAUGGAAAGAUUGAGCAUAUCAACAGCUAUAAGUCUGUAAAAUGCAUUGACAUUAACGGUCACCAGAAGAUUCGACAUACAGUCUCAUAAAAACCCGCAAACACUCCAAGAUUAGCUACAUGUUUACUAUCAUGCCAAGCUUUGCUCAGUUUUUGUAUCUGCUCUUAACUACUUGUCCUUGUUUAGUCAGUACUGUAUCUCUGGAUGAAAUUAUUCAUCUAUGCAUUCUCAGCCGUGGAAUCUUUCUCCAGGUUUUGUAAAUAAAUGCACCGAGAAACAAAAUAAUUCUUGAACA